AGCAGCCGCGGUAAUUCCAGCUCCAAUAGCGUAUAUUAAAAUUGUUGCAGUUAAAAAGCUCGUAGUUGAAUUUCGGGAUCAAUUUGCUGGUCGAGACCUCUGGUACGUACUUGUAUUAUUGAUUUCUUUCAUUCUGAUAAAUCAUGGAUGUCAUUAAUUUGAUGACUAUGAGGAAUCGAAACUUUUACUUGAAAAAUUAGAGUGUUUAAAGCAGGCUUAUUAGGCUUGAAUACAUUAGCAUGGAAUAAUGAAAUAGGACGAUUGAUCCUAUUUUUGUGGUUUCUAGGAUUAAACGUAAUGAUUAAUAGGGGUAUUGGGGGCAUUAGUAUUCAGUUGUCAGAGGUGAAAUUCUUGGAUUUAUUGAAGACUAACUACUGCGAAAGCAUUUGCCAAGGAUGUUUUCAUUA
rnacentral:rRNA from 1 species